AAGAGAUGAAUGUGGGUAAUAGGAGGAAGCUUAUGAAAGUAGAAUUGGAGCCAUCCCUGAAACUAUGUGCAAGGCUAUCAUUUGUUUUUGUAUUCUCCUUGAAAGUCUUCAAAAGGCAUUGUAAGGGAGAAAGAAACAACAACAAAAUAGAGGAACACAUACCCGAAUACAACAGGUGAGGGAUCUGUGGAGCCAUGAGCCGAGCCUGAGUGGCUCUGGUGUGAAAGCACUCAGGGAAGCAACGGGAAUGGUUUUGCUUCUCUAGAUGUUUCAGCAUCCUAUACACUGAAUUCUCACUUCCAGGUCUGGAAUAGAUCUCAUAAAAUAAGCAAAGAAACAAGAAAUUACUGAAGCCCCUGCCUUUAUCUGCUUGCAGUUGAGCUAACCUCUGCAAAGAGCCACCCAGCCUGCCAAGGGAGCUGGAGGAACAGCAAUGCCAGUGUUUGGAGGCAUGACUUAACCUUGGAGCUUAAUGGAGUCUGGUAAGAGAUACUUCUAAAACGGCAAAAUGGAGGGAUAAACCAUUUAAAGUCAAAUAUAUCAUAUAGCUCACUUAGGGCUUGAUGGGAGAAAAUGUUUAGAGAAAGAAGUUUGAUGAAGUGUCUAAAUACGCACCCUCUAUGUUUGCUACUUCUUCCAGAUCCGUGAAUUCUGAGAGCUUCAUCCUUACUACAAAAAACUGAAGACUAUUACCAAAGGACUCAAAGCUCAGAAACUGAAGCAAAAGGUAAUGCUAUUAGCAUCCAGGAAGUAUUUCUACAACAACUUUAAAACAGAAUCA